rnacentral:rRNA from 1 species
CACGUGUAGCGGUGAAAUGCGUAGAGAUGUGGAGGAACACCAGUGGCGAAGGCGACUCUCUGGUCUGUAACUGACGCUGAGGAGCGAAAGCGUGGGGAGCGAACAGGAUUAGAUACCCUGGUAGUCCACGCCGUAAACGAUGAGUGCUAAGUGUUAGGGGGUUUCCGCCCCUUAGUGCUGCAGCUAACGCAUUAAGCACUCCGCCUGGGGAGUACGGUCGCAAGACUGAAACUCAAAGGAAUUGACGGGGGCCCGCACAAGCGGUGGAGCAUGUGGUUUAAUUCGAAGCAACGCGAAGAACCUUACCAGGUCUUGACAUCCUCUGACGAUCCUAGAGAUAGGACGUCCCCUUCGGGGGCAGAGUGACAGGUGGUGCAUGGUUGUCGUCAGCUCGUGUCGUGAGAUGUUGGGUUAAGUCCCGCAACGAGCGCAACCCUUGAUCUUAGUUGCCAGCAUUCAGUUGGGCACUCUAAGGUGACUGCCGGUGACAAACCGGAGGAAGGUGGGGAUGACGUCAAAUCAUCAUGCCCCUUAUGACCUGGGCUACACACGUGCUACAAUGGACAGA